rnacentral:rRNA from 1 species
AUGGCUCAGGAUGAACGCUAGCUACAGGCUAACACAUGCAAGUCGAGGGGCAGCAUGGGGUAGCAAUACUCAGAUGGCGACCGGCGCACGGGUGAGUAACACGUAUCCAACCUGCCGCUUACUCGGGGAUAGCCUUUCGAAAGAAAGAUUAAUACCCGAUGGUAUAAAGAGUUCGCAUGUUCUCUUUAUUAAAGAAUUUCGGUAAGCGAUGGGGAUGCGUUCCAUUAGAUAGUUGCGGGGUAACGGCCCACCAAGUCUACGAUGGAUAGGGGUUCUGAGAGGAAGGUCCCCCACAUUGGAACUGAGACACGGUCCAAACUCCUACGGGGGGCAGCAGUGGGGAAUAUUGCACAAUGGGGGAAACCCUGAUGCAGCAACGCCGCGUGAGUGAUGACGGCCUUCGGGUUGUAAAGCUCUGUCUUCAGGGACGAUAAUGACGGUACCUGAGGAGGAAGCCACGGCUAACUACGUGCCAGCCGCCGC